GAUCAUGGCUCAGAUUGAACGCUGGCGGCAUGCCUUACACAUGCAAGUCGAGGGGUAGAGUUCUUCGGGACUUGAGACCGGCGCACGGGUGCGUAACGCGUAUGCAAUCUACCUUAUACAGGGGAAUAGCCCAGAGAAAUUUGGAUUAAUGCCCCAUAGUGUUAUCGAAUCGCAUGGUUUGAUAACUAAAGUUCCAACGGUAUAAGAUGAGCAUGCGUCCCAUUAGUUAGUUGGUAAGGUAACGGCUUACCAAGACAAUGAUGGGUAGGGGUCCUGAGAGGGAGAUCCCCCACACUGGUACUGAGACACGGACCAGACUCCUACGGGAGGCAGCAGUGAGGAAUAUUGGUCAAUGGGCGCAAGCCUGAACCAGCCAUGCCGCGUGCAGGAAGACGGUCCUAUGGAUUGUAAACUGCUUUUAUACAGGAAGAAACCCUCCCACGUGUGGGAGCUUGACGGUACUGUAGGAAUAAGGAUCGGCUAACUCCGUG
rnacentral:rRNA from 1 species